AUGAUGGAUGCCCAGAGAAGCAGCGAGUGGACAAGAAACCAGAGCACUAUUUCUGUCCUUCCACCCGUCAGCUGCUCCAGUCCUUCAUCAAGCUCUCAGCCUGUUCUGAAGAGCAGGGCUCUUCCACCCAGGCAGCUGUACCAUGGAUUUUUUUUGAGCCAUUUUGGGACAGUGGAGAGCCCAGGAUUGGGGAACGGGGAGCUUGGGCAUGGAAAGCUUGGAUGCUUCAGCGGGAGAGAGGAAGAUGUCAGAUAUGGGAAAUGGGUAAUGCUUGUUGUGUCAGCUAGCGAAACGGCUGAUAAAACAGCCAGGUAACGGCAAAGCUGUCUACAUUCUCACCCGAGGGUGCUGCCUGCACACCUUUCACUGGCCAGAUCAACCCAGUGGCCAUACUGAAGGCCUGAAAGACCUAUGAGCAAGCCGUCUUCAGCUUGGGCACAGGCAGCAAUGCUGGAGCUCCAAAGAAAAUCCACAAGAUGUCCAGCCUGGUGGGAUGUUUUGGGCUAUUUCAGUACCUUACAGUGGGGAUAGAUGCAGCGGAUGCUGUACACAGUCAGGCCAUCCAAAAACUGAUUUCCGGUAACUUGAAUUUAGAAGUCACAGAUGGAUCUCCGAGGCCUUUGGGAGUCUGUUGCUGUCCAGCAUGCAGCACAGCUGUGCCACCACGCCAACACCAGUGUUCCCUCUCUCUCGGCUAAGACUGCCCUCUCCUCACUAGCCUUCAGCUCCUCAUUAUGGUAACACUACCUUCAAACAGAGAACCGCUAUCACAGCACAGGCCGUGUCCGCAGGUUUUUCCACAGUGUGGAAAAGAAAACUAGCAGUGUUGUGCCAUAUUUUUUCGCCAUUACUGCAGAGCAGUAUACAUUUUUUUCUCUCUCUCUCUCCAUUGACCCUUGGCAAAGAGCUUGAUUGACAGGUGAUCUGACCAAUCGUUACACCGAAUCCGCCAUUUUGUCAGACAAAAAAAAAACUGACAGGAGAGUGGAUUAACUUUGGUUUAACCUUAGACUUGAAAAAUCUUUUCUCUUUGAAAUAAAUAGUUCUGAUGUUAAUUCAUGUUAAUUUUGUGUUUUAAGUAAAUAUGAAAAGUUAUCAGUUCACAUGCCGCUUGAACGGAGGCAAUACAGUGAUCUGUCACGACACAUUAAAGAGCCACAGAACUGUGUUUAUUGUUUGAAUUUCUUUGAACAAAUGUCAAAGGCCUUUCAUACCAGACGUAAUCUGCUCUGGAGGUGUGUUGUCAGUAUCCUCUUUGCUUUUCAAUGUAUUUUUUUACAGCAGAACAGAACAUGUGUGUGAGUACAGUAUGGCUGAUCAGACAUAACAAAAGUAACUAAGGAGGGCGGGUUUUGCAAAGGGUCAAUUUUGUUUCAUUUCCUUUUUUGUUUGUUUUCUUGUCAUUUCAUUUAGUUUCCUUUCGUUUCAUUUUCUUUGUGAAAAAACACUUCUGGCAAAGCUCAGUCUAACACAUUGUAGCUAAUGUGUCAAAGCACAUUUCAAAAUGUGACACAAGCGUUCUGCAUUCUCAGCGUUGCAGCAAAGGUCACUGUAGCAGCUUUUUAAAAUAAUCUCUUACACCCUACAGCCACGGGCGGAAGAACACCUGGUUGAGAUUUUAUGCAGAGCCAAUUAAUUAAAGUUAUUUAAAAGUUAGCCACCUGAGUAAUAACACUAAUCUGGUAGCAAUAAUCUGAUUUAGUAGUCUUUGUCCAGGUCUCAUCUUCCUGGAGAAGCCCUGCCUACCAUGCCAAAUAAUGGUCUUGGCAACUGUAUCCGCUUUUUGUUUGAGAACUGAACAAAGGGCCCACUGUCCCCUGCUCUGGAGAAUGCAUCUGAACUUCAUGGUAAGGCUGUAAAGACAUGAAAGUUGAGAAACGUUCAAAAAUAGCUUCAGGUAUAGGGUUUCCUUGUGUGUUUUCUACAGGUAUGUGAUGGGAAGGCUGAGAGGGGCUCUGGAAUCUUCUACAAGGCCCUACAGGCAGUGCCCUGGGUAAAGGUAAGAUAAGAUAUACUUAGAGAAGCAUGUUACUGUCAACAUGUCUGCACACUUAACACUUUACUUCCAGACUCUUAAUGUAAAUUACAGUUUGUAUGUGUGUGUCAUGGAGGCAGUACAGCUGUUCCCUGAACGUGUACAAGAGUUUUAAGACCUUAUGACUAAGAAGGAGUUGCGUCUGUGAGUGCCCAUGGAAGAGGUGGACAUCUUCCCGGAGGAUCAACAGCUAAAAAAAAAAAAGUUGUAUUAAUUUUUUCCAUGAUUUUGGAAAUAAAUGAUAUGUUGAGUAUUAAGUUGUCUCUCUUCUUUGAAUAUAAAGUUUUUGAGAAUUCAUCUUGGUUUCAUGUUUCAGUUAGUUGAGAGUCUUUUCAUUAUGAAAGAAUUUAAAGCCAGUCACUGUCAGCAAAUAUUUUCUUUUGGCCAGCAGAGGGCAUCAAUACCUUCUCUCGAUGCUCUUAAUGUUGUCCUGGAUUUGAACCACAAAUGUACAACCUCAGAUUAGGAUUAUCUUCAAAUACCAAGAGGUUGCUGCAGUGCUUUAAAUUGAUCUUUAGACUGCAGCUUGGUCUUUUCAUCUCCCCCAUGCUGAACUUUCUGCUAAACUGAGCGGAGCUGCUGGAUUUGAACCUGAAAUUUAAGACGUGCAUUGAACUGAUGAAAUAAUUGGUGAGAGGAGGAUUGGGUUUUUCAUGCUUAUUGCAUUCAGUUCUUCAUUCAAACUUUCCAAAUCUAUUCAUUAUGCCAGUGUGAGUGUGCCAUGGUUAAAGGAAGGAUUUGUUUGGACCUUUACCACAGUAAUGUUUGGGUUUACUCUGUGUUUUAAGAUGGAGCUGAUGUCGUAAUGUCUUGUGAAAUGUUACCCAACAACAUCUCUGGGGUUGGUAUGACAAACCUAGCACACGUUUCUUCACAGCUAAUUCUUUUCAUUUUACUGUGAAAGGACACGAGCAGCUGAAUAAAUAAAGGGCUCUGGAAGAACAUGCUACAUCACUCUUACAUAAACAGAAGAUACACAGAACUGUCAUCUGCUAGCCGAUCAAAUUUAAUUUGAAUGUUCGUAAACACCCGUUUGAACAUCUUUGAAGAGAUGCUUUAACAUCCUUAAUAUACUUCUUAGUUAAAUACAUUAUUGUACUGCAGUGUAUUACUGUUUUUUUUAUCAUUUUUAAAGAUAAUGUUUCAUGUAAUUUAUGUGAAAAGCAGUGCAUUAAAAGUCCUGUGUUAUUUAUUCAACGAAACACUUAAGAUGAACAUUUUGUGGCAAAUGUAGAUUGUAGUUGCAAAGUGUGGCAGCAGGAGGCGAACUGAAAAGGCUGACAUUUCAUGUCAUAUCAGUCAUUUCAUGAUGUUAAACAAGCAUUGUCCCUUGAGUUUCCCUCUUUUUCUUGCUGACCUUCAUUUUUUUAUUUCAUCCCUUAGACUUAUAAAUAACAAAAAAAGUACAAGUUUUUUGAUGCAUUAUGAUGAUUUAUUCAAAGAUAAGACUUAACGUUGUUAUGCUUUUCUUUUCUGUAUGUAUAAUUACAUAAUGUGCUCUAUGCAAAUCCAAG
rnacentral:lncRNA from 1 species